GUUGUAUAGUCAAGUAAUUAAGUGCAUGUGGUGGAUGCCUUGGCAGUCAGAGGCGAUGAAAGACGUGAUAGCCUGCGAAAAGCUCCGGGGAGGCGGCAAAUAUCCUUUGAUCCGGAGAUGUCUGAAUGGGGGAACCCACCUACUUUAAGGUAGGUAUUGCAACAUGAAUACAUAGUGUUGCAAGGCGAACGAGGGGAAGUGAAACAUCUCAGUACCCUUAGGAAAAGAAAUCAAUUGAGAUUCCCUCAGUAGCGGCGAGCGAACGGGGAUCAGCCCAUUAAGUUAUGUGUGUUUUAGUGGAACGCUCUGGGAAGUGCGAACGUAGAGGGUGAUAUUCCCGUACACGAAAGGGCACACAUAAUGAUGACGAGUAGGGCGAGGCACGUGAAACCUUGUCUGAAUAUGGGGGGACCAUCCUCCAAGGCUAAAUACUCCUGACUGACCGAUAGUGAACCAGUACCGUGAGGGAAAGGCGAAAAGAACCCCUGUGAGGGGAGUGAAAUAGAUCCUGAAACCGCAUGCAUACAAGCAGUGGGAGCACCUUCGUGGUGUGACUGCGUACCUUUUGUAUAAUGGGUCAGCGACUUAUAUUCAGUAGCAAGGUUAACCGUAUAGGGGAGCCGUAGAGAAAUCGAGUCUUAAUAGGGCGUUUAGUUGCUGGGUAUAGACCCGAAACCAGGCGAUCUAUCCAUGAGCAGGUUGAAGGUUGGGUAACACUAACUGGAGGACCGAACCCACUGUCGUUGAAAAGCCAGGGGAUGACUUGUGGAUAGGGGUGAAAGGCUAAUCAAGCCUGGUGAUAGCUGGUUCUCCCCGAAAGCUAUUUAGGUAGCGCCUCGGACGAAUACCAUAGGGGGUAGAGCACUGUUUCGGCUAGGGGGUCAUCCCGACUUACCAAACCGAUGCAAACUCCGAAUACCUAUGAGUACUAUCCGGGAGACAGACUGCGGGUGCUAACGUCCGUAGUCAAGAGGAAAACAAUCCAGACCGCCAGCUAAGGCCCCAAAAUCAUAGUUAAGUGGGAAACGAUGUGGGAAGGCAUAGACAGCUAGGAGGUUGGCUUANNNNNNNNNNNNNNNNNNNNNNNNNNNNNNNNNNNNNNNNNNNNNNNNNNNGAAGCAGCCACCCUUUAAAGAAAGCGUAAUAGCUCACUAGUCGAGUCGGCCUGCGCGGAAGAUGUAACGGGGCUAAAACUAUGUGCCGAAGCUGCGGAUGUAUACUUUGUAUACGUGGUAGGGGAGCGUUCUGUAAGCCGAUGAAGGUGUGUUGAGAAGNGAAGCAGCCACCCUUUAAAGAAAGCGUAAUAGCUCACUAGUCGAGUCGGCCUGCGCGGAAGAUGUAACGGGGCUAAAACUAUGUGCCGAAGCUGCGGAUUUGACAUUAGUCAAGUGGUAGGGGAGCGUUCUGUAAGCCGAUGAAGGUGUAUUGAGAAGUAUGCUGGAGGUAUCAGAAGUGCGAAUGCUGACGUGAGUAACGACAAAACGGGUGAAAAACCCGUUCGCCGAAAGACCAAGGGUUCCAGUCCAACGUUAAUCGGGGCUGGGUGAGUCGACCCCUAAGGCGAGGCCGAAAGGCGUAGUCGAUGGGAAAAUGGUUAAUAUUCCAUUACUUCUGUGUAAUGCGAUGAGAGGACGGAGAAGGCUAAAUCAGCCUGGCGUUGGUUGUCCAGGUGAAAGGAUGUAGGCAUGUAUCUUAGGCAAAUCCGGGGUACUCUAUGCUGAGAUCUGAUAGCAAGCUGUACUUGUACAGCGAAGUGGUUGAUGCCAUGCUUCCAGGAAAAGUCUCUAAGCUUCAGUUACACAGGAAUCGUACCCGAAACCGACACAGGUGGUCAGGUCGAGUAGACCAAGGCGCUUGAGAGAACUCUGCUGAAGGAACUAGGCAAAAUGGUACCGUAACUUCGGGAGAAGGUACGCUGUUGUUGGUGAUGGAACUCGCUUCCUGAGCUGACGACAGCCGCAGAAACCAGGCCGCUGCAACUGUUUAUUAAAAACAUAGCACUCUGCAAACACGAAAGUGGACGUAUAGGGUGUGAUGCCUGCCCGGUGCUGGAAGGUUAAUUGAUGGGGUUAGCGUAAGCGAAGCUCUUGAUCGAAGCCCCAGUAAACGGCGGCCGUAACUAUAACGGUCCUAAGGUAGCGAAAUUCCUUGUCGGGUAAGUUCCGACCUGCACGAAUGGCAUAAUGAUGGCGGCGCUGUCUCCAGCAGAGGCUCAGUGAAAUCGAAAUCGCUGUGAAGAUGCAGUGUACCCGCGGCUAGACGGAAAGACCCCGUGAACCUUUACUGCAGCUUGACACUGAACUUUGACCUUACUUGUGUAGGAUAGGUGGGAGGCUUUGAAGCUGGAACGCUAGUUCCAGUGGAGCCGUCCUUGAAAUACCACCCUGGUAAUGUUGAGGUUCUAACUCUGUCCCGUGAUCCGGGACGAGGACCGUGUCUGGUGGGUAGUUUGACUGGGGCGGUCUCCUCCUAAAGAGUAACGGAGGAGUACGAAGGUGCGCUCAGCGUGGUCGGAAAUCACGCGUAGAGUAUAAAGGCAAAAGCGCGCUUAACUGCGAGACCCACAAGUCGAGCAGGUACGAAAGUAGGUCUUAGUGAUCCGGUGGUUCUGUAUGGAAGGGCCAUCGCUCAACGGAUAAAAGGUACUCUGGGGAUAACAGGCUGAUACCGCCCAAGAGUUCAUAUCGACGGCGGUGUUUGGCACCUCGAUGUCGGCUCAUCUCAUCCUGGGGCUGAAGCAGGUCCCAAGGGUAUGGCUGUUCGCCAUUUAAAGAGGUACGCGAGCUGGGUUUAGAACGUCGUGAGACAGUUCGGUCCCUAUCUACCGUGGGCGCUGGAAAUUUGAGAGGAUCUGCUCCUAGUACGAGAGGACCAGAGUGGACGAACCUCUGGUGUACCGGUUGUGACGCCAGUCGCAUCGCCGGGUAGCUAUGUUCGGAAGGGAUAACCGCUGAAAGCAUCUAAGCGGGAAGCCUACCUCAAGAUAAGAUUUCCCUAGGACUUUAUGUCCUCUAAAGAGCCGUUCGAGACUAGGACGUUGAUAGGUUGGAUGUGGAAGCAUAGUGAUAUGUGAAGCUGACCAAUACUAAUUGCUCGUGAGGCUUGACUAUACAACACCCAAGCAGUUG
rnacentral:rRNA from 1 species